rnacentral:tRNA from 1 species
GGAGUCCUGGUUUAAGCUAAAACUCCUGUAUUGCAAUUAGGUGAUAUGGUCAGUCUUCAGGUUCUA